CCUAGGGCGGCAGCAGUGGGGAAUAUUGGACAAUGGGCGAAAGCCUGAUCCAGCCAUGCCGCGUGUGUGAAGAAGGCCUUCGGGUUGUAAAGCACUUUCAGUGGGGAAGAAAGCCUUGGGGCUAAUACCCUCGAGGAAGGACAUCACCCACAGAAGAAGCACCGGCUAACUCCGUGCCAGCAGCCGCGGUAAUACGGAGGGUGCGAGCGUUAAUCGGAAUUACUGGGCGUAAAGCGCGCGUAGGCGGUCUGAUAAGCCGGUUGUGAAAGCCCCGGGCUCAACCUGGGAACGGCAUCCGGAACUGUCAGGCUAGAGUGCAGGAGAGGAAGGUAGAAUUCCCGGUGUAGCGGUGAAAUGCGUAGAGAGCGGGAGGAAUACCAGUGGCGAAGGCGGCCUUCUGGACUGACACUGACGCUGAGGUGCGAAAGCGUGGGUAGCAAACAGGAUUAGAUACCCUAGUAGUC
rnacentral:rRNA from 1 species